rnacentral:rRNA from 1 species
AUGGCGACCCUGAGGAACCUGAAGAUCAAGACGUCGACGUGCAAGAGGAUCGUCAAAGAGCUGCGCUCGUACGAGAAGGAGGUGGAGAAGGAGGCCGCCAAGACCGCCGACAUGAAGGAGAAGGGCGCCGACCCCUAUGAUCUCAAGCAGCAGGAAAAUGUUUUAGCUGAGUCGAGGAUGAUGGUCCCAGACUGCCAUAAGCGGCUUGAAGCUGCACUGACAGACUUGAAAGCAACUCUGGCCGAGUUGAAGGAGUCAAAUGAACAAGGCACUGAGAUCGGUGAGGCUGAGGCUACAAUCACUGAAGUUGAAGCUGUCUACACGCCAACAGAAGCUGAAGAUUAA